CAAGAAAUACGUCUGGCAGCUCUGAUUAGAAGGCUCGCGGAAACUCCAAAACAAAAACAUUGGUUAUGUAAAGUCUGUAAAGUACAAAUACUCAGCUCAGACAUAACUGACGAAUUUUGUAAUAAAGUUUCAAUGCGUAUUUCUGAAUGCAAUGGUAUACCGGCGUAACAAAAUUCUGGAACUAGCACUAGUUACAAUUUUCGGCAUCGGCGGCGGAUUCUACAUUUUCCAACCCUCGUUUCAAAAGUAUCAAAUCGAGCAUAGCGCCAGCAAGGCAGCAACUGUUAGCACCAAUUCACAACAGGAAUAACUAGAGCAAAUUUAAUCAACGAAGAUGUCCAAUUUUAUGAAAACGCUGCGAAUGUUCCAGCACUCGCCGGUUGCCAUUCUCGGCAGUGCGAUUAUUGUAACCGGUUCACUCGCAUUUUGCUAUAAACGAGUAUACGAGCCCCAUGCAGCAAGAAAACGUAGAGCAGAAGCAGAAUUAAUGGCCGAUUACAUUUUUCGUAAAGAACAGUUGGCACGCGGGCUCAGUGUUCCAGAUGACGGAACCAUAAUCGACAGAUAGGAGUUCCAGCAGUGUUACUUUGACAAUCUGGAAUAGAUUCGAUUAGCUGAAGUAACAAAUUAAAAUAAAAACGAAUUCAAAUCCUUUCAAAA